UACGGAGGGUGCGAGCGUUAAUCGGAAUUACUGGGCGUAAAGGGUGAGUAGGUGGUUUGAUAAGUUAUCUGUAAAAUCCCUGGGCUUAACCUAGGCAGGUCAGAUAAGACUGUUAGACUUGAGUAUUGGAGAGGGUAGUGGAAUUUCCGGUGUAGCGGUGAAAUGCGUAGAGAUCGGAAGGAACACCAGUGGCGAAGGCGGCUACCUGGCCAAAUACUGACACUGAGUCACGAAAGCGUGGGGAGCAAACAGGAUUAGAUACCCCGUGUAGU
rnacentral:rRNA from 1 species